rnacentral:rRNA from 1 species
GGGUUAGUCGGGACCUAAGCUGAGGCCGAAAGGCGUAGGUGAUGGACAACAGGUUGAUAUUCCUGUACUACCGAUAACCGUUUGAGAGAUGGGAUGACACAGUAGGAUAAGCUAAGCACACUGUUGGGUAUGUGUGCCCAAGCAUUGAGGCAGUCAAAGUAGGCAAAUCCGCUUUGAUAAUGCUGGGAUGUGAUGGGGAGCGAAAUUUAGUAGCGAAGUAGCUGAUUUCACACUGUCAAGAAAAGUCUCUAUCGAGGUUAAAGGUACCCGUACCGCAAACCGACACAGGUGGGUGAGGAGAGUAUCCUAAGGCCAGCGAGAGAACUGUUGUUAAGGAACUCGGCAAAAUGACCCCGUAACUUAGGGAUAAGGGGUGCCACCAUCAGGUGGCCGCAGAGAAUAGGCCCAAGCGACUGUUUACCAAAAACAUAGGUUUCUGCUAAGUCGCAAGACGAUGUAUAGGAGCUGACGCCUGCCCGGUGCUGGAAGGUUAAGGGGAUCUGUUAGAG